UUUUUAGCCAGUAUAUUUAUGGAUGUUUAAGUGAAAGUAAAAUAUGGGAGUAUAUUAAGAGCUCCAGAGUCUUGGGUUCAGCUCUGUAGUUUCUGUGGCUGCUGAAGAGGUGGUCAGGAAUAUAGGAACCCCCUGCUGGGCUCCUGGUCACUUCUGUCUGCUCCAUGGCAGGAAGCCUUCAGCACAAGACAUCAAGGCAAGCUUAAUAAGAAAAACUAUUUCUUCUUCCUAAGCCAUGUCAUAUCAGUUAUACAGAAGUACUACUUUGGGAAACAGUCUUCAGGAGAGCCUAGAUGAGCUCAUACAAUCUCAGCAGUUCACUCAACUUGCCCUUCAAGUUUUAAUUCAGUUUGAUAAGGCUAUAAACGCAUCAUUUUGGCUCAGAGGGUUAGGAACAGAGUUGAUUUCAGUGGCUCUCUAAAUACAUACAGAUUCUGCCAUAUAUUCUGUGAUAAUAUGUAGACUUUUAUAUUCAAUGAUAUUGAAUUACAAAAGGUGAUAGAACUUAUUAAAGUGGAUAAAGUGAAAAUUAUGGCCUGUGAUGAUAAAAAUACUGGCUAUAAUACUACCGAAUGA